CUUCUGCAAAAUCAUUGCAAUUCCUUCUCACAAUGCUAAAACCCUACUUCCUGCCGUACACUCACUUUCUUCUUUCUGUUUUGGUAUUCGUCAAUAGCUUAGCUUGAUCGUUUUGUUAUUUUCUCUAAAUCUUUUGUGUGUGUAGUUUACUUACACUAUGCCUGUGCCUAUGAUGGUGUUAAAUAUACUCUGAUAUUUAAAUAUAUAUGAAAAGAAUUUUCAUC
rnacentral:misc_RNA from 1 species